AUUGAACGCUGGCGGCAGGCCUAACACAUGCAAGUCGAGCGGAUGAAGGGAGCUUGCUCCUGGAUUCAGCGGCGGACGGGUGAGUAAUGCCUAGGAAUCUGCCUGGCAGUGGGGGAUAACGUCCGGACACGGGCGCUAAUCCCGCAUACGUCCUGAGGGAGAAAGUGGGGGAUCUUCGGACCUCACGCUAUCAGAUGAGCCUAGGUCGGAUUAGCUAGUUGGUGGGGUAAAGGCCUACCAAGGCGACGAUCCGUAACUGGUCUGAGAGGAUGAUCAGUCACACUGGAACUGAGACACGGUCCAGACUCCUACGGGAGGCAGCAGUGGGGAAUAUUGGACAAUGGGCGAAAGCCUGAUCCAGCCAUGCCGCGUAUGUGAAGAAGGUCUUCGGAUUGUAAAGCACUUUAAGUUGGGAGGAAGGGCAGUAAGUUAAUACCUUGCUGUUUUGACGUUACCAACAGAAUAAGCACCGGCUAACUUCGUG
rnacentral:rRNA from 1 species